rnacentral:lncRNA from 1 species
AUGAAGUCAUGGAAGAAGAGGCCUGUUCCACGCACAGAGCGCCUCUUGAGCAAGGCUGGCAAAAGCAUGGACCAGAAAUUGUUGUUCCUUCAACACAGUAAUCCAACUAAAUUCACCAGUACAGAGACAUUCAGAAAGAAUGAUCCUGUGGAAAUGAGGUUAUUACUGAUAUGACUGUUGCUUUGGUGAAGGAAGGCAGACUUCUCCUUUGACAUUCAUAGAAUCCAGAUG